CGCUCCAAGGGAAGAGGAAGUCGGGCUCGGCGAGCGGGUGGGUGCGCCUCGGGCCGCGGGACUCGCCGCCGCUGCCGCCGCCUCUACGGCCGCGUCAGAACUGAGGAGAGGAAGGGGAGGAGCCGCGUGGAGCCUAAGCUGCCGCCUAAGCUUACCCCUGACCCGAGGGCAGUGGAGAGAGCCUGCUCCGUAGCGGUUUCCCUCAGAGCAGGUGGUGACUGCUCCUUGGGGAGCAAGGAGGAGGCCCAGGCCGCGCGGCCAUGGUCGGGCGCGCAUCACCCGAAGGUCAAGAACUGGAACACUGCCAGCACCCCAGAAGUCCCCCGCUGACCUUCCUGAACACAACUCUUUCCCUCCCUUUUAGAGUUCUUUGUUUAGAGUCAGUGAUAUUAUAAGACUGGAAGAAGACCCAGAGAAAUUAAAUGACUUACCCAGGGUCAGAAGAGCAAGUAAAAAGGAAGCCUGGACUUGGCCCCAAGUCUUCAAAAUAGAGUAUGCUCGCUGUUAUAUCACACUGGCCCUCAGGCUCCUGGAGCAGUAAGAAAUAUGAGUUCUGAGUUCCAAUUCAAGCUAUUAAAGGACAUUUAUGGAAAAGAAAACAACAAUCCUAGGGACUGACUCUUCUGUGAAAGAAUCACAUGGUAUAACAUCAGCACUCUCCAGAUAUUUGUUGAAGGCUUCCUUGUCAACCAGUAGGCUUCCACUUCGAGGAUGAGAAGAUAUCCUUAGGUUCUCCAGCCUGUCGUUGCAGGAUUGACAUUUCUUUCAAUAACCAAACAAAAUGUUAUGACCUACCAUCUUAUAUGUUAUGAAAAGUUCAGAGCCAGCUCUCUCCACUGUGGCUGGUGUCCUCAAAUUAUUUCAGUGGCUUGCCCCUCACUGGACAUGAGUAUUUCAUUUCAUCAGCAUAAGACUGUUCUAUGUAGCAGACUUUUAGGUUGAGGGGUAACAAAUGGUUAUUAUAGUAUAAGAACCAACUUACAACACAGGAAACAAUUUCAAAAUUGAUGUCAGAUAUAACUUUUCCUAAAACUGUUGGUCAGUUGCAACCUUAGGGAAUUUCUCACUGAUUAUGUCUUUCCUUAGGUCUCUUCCAGUCACCCUGGAUUUGCUACUCUAACCCCAUAUCCCCUUCACAUCUCUCCAGAACAGUCUCUUUAAAUACAAGAUUCCUUUUACUUUAUUACAAGCAAUUCAACUGUCUUAGGUCUCCACCUUUGAUUUAAAAAGCCCAUCAAACUCGUUAAUAAUUUAUGCAGAUGCAAAUAACAGAAAACCCAACUGGCAUAAACAUGUAGAGAGUUUGCUGUUUCUCUUAAUAAAAAAUCCACUGGUAGGGAGUUCAAGAUUGGCGCAGCAGCUCAGUAAUGCCAUCAAGUACCCAGGCUGUUUUUCUUUCCUUGCCGUCCUCAUUGCCAUCCAUGUCAUGUUGACUUUUAUCAUCAAGACUGUUGUUUAAUGAGUCACAAAUAGGCUGCUGUUCCUCAGGAGCUACAUCCAAAUUGCAGACUGGAAGGAAGGAGAACGGGUGGUGCCUGUAUGAGGGAAAGCCGAUUCUUCUCCCAACAUCUCCAGCACACUUCCGUUUAGGUCUAAUUGAUAAGAGUGGUGCCUUGGGGCACACCUAGAUCUAAAGAAGGCUGAGUAGUAUUUUAGCUGGGCAUUGUUGCCCAACAAGAGGUUGGAUUUCUAUAACUAAGGAAAGCGGGAAGAAUAGACAAGGAGUAGGAAAUUAGCAGUGUCUGACACACUUUGUCUUAGUCUGUUCUGACUGCUAUAAAAAAUUACCAUAGACUAGGUGGCUUAUGAGUAACAGAAAUUUAUUCCCCGCAGUUCUGGAGGCUCUAAGUCUGAGAUGAGGCUGCCAGCAUGGUGGGGAGAGGGCCUUCUUCCAGGUUGCAGACUGCUGACUUCUUGCAUCCUCACAUGAUGGAGAGCAGCGGACAGCAACCUCUCUCCUGACUCUUAAAAGGGCACUGAUCCCAUUCAUGAGGCUCCUCCUUCAUGACCUCAUCUAAUGCCAAUCACCUCCCAAAGGCCUCACCUCUUGGUACCAUCACAAGGGGGGAAGGAGAGGAGGGUGGCAGGGCAGAAUAAGAUUUUAACAUACGAACAUUCAGUCCAUAGCUCCCUUAAAGAUGUUUUUCGUAAAAAGACCAUCUACCCCAGAGAUGAAAUGCCAAGGUCUAAACCCCAGAAACAGCUACCAUGGUUUCUGUUUUAAAUGGCCAUUUCCCCAAUGCUUGGCAUACAAACAUCAGUAAUACGUAGCAUUUUCUUUUUGGCUUCUUGUAGUUUAAAAAUUCCAGCAAUAUAGUUUCAGGAGCAUUUUUAAUAAAUGAAUUUGUGACUUCCAUAUGGUUCGUUUUUAAUCUCUUACAUCAUCAUGGCAAAACACUGCUUAUUAGUGGCAUUUUAAGCUCUUGUUUUAGACCCAUGUGUAAGAAUGAUUAAAAAUUCAUUUCCCUUUUAAAACCAAACAUAAGCAUUACUUUUAUUUAGUUUAAAACAAUCUGAAACUUACAAAAAAUUACAAGUACAGUAGGAAGAACUUUUUUAUCUUGAACUCCCAUUUGGGAGCAAGUUGCCAGCCUGAUGCCCCAGCAUCCCCAAAUACUUAAGGGAGUGCAAUCAGUUAUUCUCCCACAUAAUCACAAUAUAACCAUCAAAAUAAACAUGGAUCAUUUAUAUUAAACAAUCCUAAGACCUUCAUUAAAUUUCAUCAAUCAUCCCAGUAAUAUCUUUUAUAGCAAAAAAAGGAUACACUUCAGAAUAUGUAUUGCAUUUAAUUGUCACAUCUCUUUAGUGUCCUUUAGUUAAAAAUGUUUCCUCACUCUUUGUUUGACUUUCAUGACCUUGAUACUUUUGAAGACUCAGUUAGUUAUUUUGUGGAAUAUCCCUCAAUUUGGGUGUGUUUGUGUUUGGCAGGAAUAUCACCAAAGUGAUGCUGUGUUCAGGUGACACUCAGUUUUGAUUUGUCCUAUUACUGGUGAUGUUCACUUUAAUCGCUUGAUUAAAAUGGUGUCUACCAGGCUUCUCCACAAGGAGGUAACUCCAAAAUGAAGUUACUAUUUUUUCCAUUUGGAAUUAUCAAGUAUUAAUUUUGCAAAGAGAUACUUUAGAUCUAAAUAAAUAUCCUAUUCCUUA